rnacentral:rRNA from 1 species
GUCUACAGCCAUGCCACCCUGAACAAGCCCAAUCUGAUCACGGAAGCUAAGCAGGGUUGGGCCUGGUUAGUACCUGGAUGGGAGAAUACCUAGGAAGACCAGGUGCUGUAGGCA